rnacentral:lncRNA from 1 species
AGCUUAAGUUAUUUGAGAUAUGUGUUUCAUACUUUGCAUUUUCCACUUUUGACACUAAGAAAAAAUUAUCUUGUAGGAGCAGAAGAAGAAAGAGAAACUGGAGAGAAAAAAGGAAUCCUUGAAAGUUACGAAGGAUAAAAAUUCCAUUGAUGCAAGUGAGGAGAAUGCAGUCAUAAAAAAGAAGAGAGGAAGAGAAGAUGAAUCAUACAAUAUUUCAGAGGUCAUGUCAAAAGAGGUAAAAAUAAAGGGGGAAGGACAAAUAAGGUUUUAUGUUGUGUAUAACCUAUGUGAUAUUGAUAACUAUUACUUGAAGGUAUACUGAUAACUGAUAUUUACCUGUCUUUUCAGCCAGUUAAGUGUUUUAGGAAAGAAGAUAGUACCAUCUUCCUGUCUGUUAAAGGAGCAUGAGCUUGGCCUAGUGAGAAAUUAUAACUUCUUACAACCUCAAAACUGUAUCUUAAGAAAGAUUGUUAGGGAGCUAAAACCAUAAACUAAUUUUUAAAGCCAUUUUUGUUUUCACCUUCUCACUUAGUACCUCAUUAAAUAAAAAUUAAAGAAUAUCUUUAAUUACA